rnacentral:rRNA from 1 species
AGAGUUUGAUCCUGGCUCAGGAUGAACGCUAGCGGCAGGCUUAACACAUGCAAGUCGAGGGGCAACAGGGGCAGCAAUGCUUGCUGGCGACCGGCGCACGGGUGAGUAACGCGUAUGCAACCUACCCAUAACAGGGGGAUAGCUCCCGGAAACGGAAAUUAACACCCCAUAGCAUUCUAAUGCCGCAUGGCAUAAGGAUUAAAACUACGGUGGUUAUGGAUGGGCAUGCGUGCCAUUAGCUAGUUGGCGGGGUAACGGCCCACCAAGGCUACGAUGGCUAGGGGGUCUAAAAGGAUGAUCCCCCACACUGGUACUGAGACACGGGCCAGACUCCUACGGGAGGCAGCAGUGAGGAAUAUUGGUCAAUGGGCGGGAGCCUGAACCAGCCAUGCCGCGUGCAGGAAGACGGCCCUAUGGGUUGUAAACUGCUUUUUUAUGGGAAGAAAAAGCCCUACGUGUAGGGCACUGACGGUACCAUAUGAAUAAGCAUCGGCUAACUCCGUGCCAGCAGCCGCGGUAAUACGGAGGAUGCGAGCGUUAUCCGGAUUUAUUAGGUUUAAAGGGUGCGCAGGUGGGAAAAUAAGUCAGUGGUGAAAUACUGCCGCUUAACGGUAGAAUUGCCAUUGAUACUGUUUUUCUUGAGUAUGGUUGAGGUAGGUGGAAUGUGUUGUGUAGCGGUGAAAUGCAUAGAUAUGACACAGAACGCCGAUUGCGAAGGCAGCUUACUAAGCCAUUACUGACGCUGAGGCACGAAAGCGUGGGGAUCGAACAGGAUUAGAUACCCUGGUAGUCC